rnacentral:rRNA from 1 species
CUACGGGCCGCUCCAGUGGGGAAUAUUGCACAAUGGGCGCAAGCCUGAUGCAGCCAUGCCGCGUGUAUGAAGAAGGCCUUCGGGUUGUAAAGUACUUUCAGCGGGGAGGAAGGGAGUAAAGUUAAUACCUUUGCUCAUUGACGUUACCCGCAGAAGAAGCACCGGCUAACUCCGUGCCAGCAGCCGCGGUAAUACGGAGGGUGCAAGCGUUAAUCGGAAUUACUGGGCGUAAAGCGCACGCAGGCGGUUUGUUAAGUCGGAUGUGAAAUCCCCGGGCUCAACCUGGGAACUGCAUCCGAUACUGGCAAGCUUGAGUGUCGUAGAGGGGGGUAGAAUUCCAGGUGUAGCGGUGAAAUGCGUAGAGAUCUGGAGGAAUACCGGUGGCGAAGGCGGCCCCCUGGACGAAGACUGACGCUCAGGUGCGAAAGCGUGGGGAGCAAACAGGAUUAGAUACCCCAGUAGUC